rnacentral:rRNA from 1 species
GGUGAACGCUGGCGGCGUGCCUAAGACAUGCAAGUCGUGCGGGCUGUGGGGUUUCUCACGGUCAGCGGCGGACGGGUGAGUAACGCGUGGGUGACCUACCCGGAAGAGGGGGACAACCUGGGGAAACCCAGGCUAAUCCCCCAUGUGGACGCAUCCUGUGGGGUGUGUUUAAAGGGCUUUGCCCGCUUCCGGAUGGGCCCGCGUCCCAUCAGCUAGUUGGUGGGGUAAGAGCCUACCAAGGCGACGACGGGUAGCCGGUCUGAGAGGACGGCCGGCCACGGGGGCACUGAGACACGGGCCCCACUCCUACGGGAGGCAGCAGUUAGGAAUCUUCCGCAAUGGGCGCAAGCCUGACGGAGCGACGCCGCUUGGAGGAGGAAGCCCUUCGGGGUGUAAACUCCUGAACCCGGGACGAAACCCCCGAUGAGGGGACUGACGGUACCGGGGUAAUAGCGCCGGCCAACUCCGUGCCAGCAGCCGCGGUAAUACGGAGGGCGCGAGCGUUACCCGGAUUUACUGGGCGUAAAGGGCGUGUAGGCGGCUUGGGGCGUCCCAUGUGAAAGGCCACGGCUCAACCGUGGAGGAGCGUGGGAUACGCUCAGGCUA